UUUUAUACGAUAUCGAGAAUUAAGAAUACGUUGGGACCCACGAACACAUCGUUAGACAAGAAGUUCGUAUUUAUCAUCCAGUUUCUUCGUGUCCUGAUAGGCCUUAGGAUUUCCUUAGCAAGAAUGAAUUAUUACACUCCUCAGGAAAUGUCAUCCACCAAGAAACAGCGUAGCGUGUAAGUACUACAAAGUUAUCGUAUAUUUUCCUUUACCAUUUUCCACAUUUAAUUGUAUUUUUCAAACAGUUUUAACAAUCGUCGUUACACACCAUAUGUUCAUCGAAGCAGUUAUACGCCAUCCGUUCCUCAAGAUGAAACUGUAUCGUGCAAGAAACAGUGUGGUGACGUUUCUGAUGAUGAAUCUCAUAACCCACCGCGUAUCAUGUGCAGGAGGUUACCACUGACAUCUACAGCAUUCAAAUACAUAGAUAUUGGGAUCAGAGUAGUACCUCGUGCAUCCUACGUAGAAAUAAUUCUCGGCGAUAAUCAAGGACAUCAGAUGGAGUUAGAUCAAUCAAUUUGGAAA